ACGUUCUUAGCUCAGCCGGUAGAGCAACGGUCUUUUAAACCGUAGGUCGCGGGUUCGAACCCCGCAGAGCGUACCA
rnacentral:tRNA from 1 species